GGAAUAGUAUUCAUAGGUAAGAUAAGACAAUUGCUAAUUGUUGGAGGUAACUCGUAGGUGUUCGACUCACCUCUAUUCCG
rnacentral:tRNA from 2 species